CCCGUCCACUCAAACGACCCUGCUGGAGCAUGGCUCUGGAGAUGGACACGAAGGGAAAGUCACUUGAAAGCUUAAGAGCUUUUUGAAAGGUCUUUCAGCCUGUUGUGGUGGGAUGGAGUUUUGGCCUGCUUGGUGACAUCACCAGGCGGUAAAUUACUUGAAACAGAGUUCCAAACCUCUCAGUUUCCCCUCCCCACUCAGACCACUCCCAGAAAGUCCUACACUCUAAAAAUGUGGGGUUCAACAAGGGUUCUUCUAAGAGCCUCAAUUCUUUGAAGAACCUUAGGGUUCUUGGCACUGAACAUGGCCCCCAAAAGGUUCUUCCAAUAACCCCAUAGGAGGUGGGGUUCAUCAAGGAACCUUUGUUGGUGAGGGUUCUUGCAGGAACCUAAUUGCCAGACUGAAACAUUUGGAUUUGAAUUUGAUAGGACAGCAGGUACAGGUACUUAACUGAAAAAUGUAAAGAUCUCCUCAAUGUAGAGUAAGGUUGUUCCUUAUAUGAUCUAAAUUGAUAUUGUUUUAUGAUGAUACCAUCUAUCUUUUCAUAUUUGUGCAAAUCUUUCUAAAACAGAAAAUGGCCACAAUUCAAUGGAUAUCAAUCAACGAAGAGGUAUACAGACAAGUAGGCAUACAAAAGACUUCACCCUCCCUACACCUCUGAUGAAUAUAACAGGAAACCUGUUCGAUCACCACGCACUGCAAAAUCAUUCUGGCUAUGGAUACAGAGAACAUCAACACCCCAGAGGAUAUAUCCAUCGGACUUGGGGUUCUGCUGGGAGUUUACCUCAUAUUUGGAUUUUUAAAUUCUGCUUUGCCACUAAAAUCAUAAACACUGAGAACUAAAAUAUUGUGUUAUUGUUGUUGUGCGUAUUAUUAAUAAUCA
ensembl:lncRNA